UGGCAGCUGAAAUUGCCUCAUCUGCUAGUGGCUGUGUCCAUGUCUAGUCCUGCUUCCAUGGAAACACAAGUCAGAGCAGCAAAUGCAAGGUCUCAGAUGAAUUCCUGAGUGUUUUGAAGCAGAGAAAAUAGAAAAGAGAACUCUUUGUCUGUGGAUUC